rnacentral:rRNA from 1 species
ACCGAUGAGUGCUAAGUGUUAGGGGGUUCCGCCCUUUAGUGCUGCAGCUAACGCAUUAAGCACUCCGCCUGGGGAGUACGACCGCAAGGUUGAAACUCAAAGGAAUUGACGGGGGCCCGCACAGCGGUGGAGCAUGUGGUUUAAUUCGAAGCAACGCGAAGAACCUUACCAGGUCUUGACAUCCUUUGACCACUCUAGAGAUAGAGCUUUCCCUUCGGGGACAAAGUGACAGGUGGUGCAUGGUUGUCGUCAGCUCGUGUCGUGAGAUGUUGGGUUAAGUCCCGCAACGAGCGCAACCCUUAUUGUUAGUUGCCAUCAUUAAGUUGGGCACUCUAGCGAGACUGCCGGUGACAAACCGGAGGAAGGUGGGGAUGACGUCAAAUCAUCAUGCCCCUUAUGACCUGGGCUACACACGUGCUACAAUGGACAGUACAAUGAGCAGCGACACGGCGACGUGAAGCGAAUCUCAUAAAGCUGUUCUCAGUUCGGAUUGUAGGCUGCAACUCGCCUACAUGAAGCCGGAAUCGCUAGUAAUCGCGGAUCAGCACGCCGCGGUGAAUACGUUCCCGGGCCUUGUACACACCGCCCGUCACACCACGAAAGUUUGUAACACCCGAAGUCGGUGAGGUAACCGCAAGGAGCCAACCGCCUAAGGUGGGAUAGAUGAUUGGGGUGAAGUCGUAACAAGGUAACCAAGGGCGAAUUCCAG